rnacentral:rRNA from 1 species
AACGAACGCUGGCGGCGCGCUUAACACAUGCAAGUCGAACGAGAAACCCUCUUCGGGGGGCGGUAAAGUGGCGAACGGGUGAGUAAUGCAUGGGUAAUUUACCCUGUAGUGGGGGAUAACCUUCCGAAAGGAGGGCUAAUACCGCAUACGAUCCUGGGGCAUCAGUCUCAGGAUGAAAGACAGCUCGCAAGGGCUGGCGCUAUUGGAUGAGCCCAUGUCCCAUCAGCUUGUUGGUAGGGUAACGGCCUACCAAGGCGAUGACGGGUAGCUGGUCUGAGAGGACGACCAGCCACACUGGCACUGCGACACGGGCCAGACUCCUACGGGAGGCAGCAGUGAGGAAUCUUGCGCAAUGGGCGAAAGCCUGACGCAGCGACGCCGCGUGGGGGAUGAAGGCCUUCGGGUUGUAAACCCCUUUUAGGAGGAAAGAAUUCCGGUAGGUGAAUAUCCUGCCUGGUUGACGGUACCUCCAGAAAAAGCCACGGCUAACUCUGUG